rnacentral:rRNA from 1 species
UACGGGGGGGCAAGCGUUGUUCGGAAUUACUGGGCGUAAAGGGCUCGUAGGUGGCCCAACUAAGUCAGACGUGAAAUCCCUCGGCUUAACCGGGGAACUGCGUCUGAUACUGGAAUGGCUUGAGUUCGGGAGAGGGAUGCGGAAUUCCAGGUGUAGCGGUGAAAUGCCGGCAGAUAUCAGGAAGAACACCCGUGGCGAAGGCGGGUCGUCUGGA